rnacentral:misc_RNA from 1 species
CCGAGUUUACAACUCCUCAAACCCCUGUGAACAUACCUAAAUGUUGCCUCGGCGGAUCAGCCGCUCCCGGUAAAACGGGACGGCCCCGCCAGAGGACCCCUAAACUCUGUUUCUAUAUGUACUUCUGAGUAAAACCAUAAAUAAAUCA